rnacentral:rRNA from 1 species
CUACGUGCCAGCAGCCGCGGUAAUACGGAAGGUCCAGGCGUUAUCCGGAUUUAUUGGGUUUAAAGGGAGCGUAGGCGGAUUGUUAAGUCAGCGGUUAAAGGGUGUGGCUCAACCAUGCAUUGCCGUUGAAACUGGCGAUCUUGAGUGCAGACAGGGAUGCCGGAAUUCGUGGUGUAGCGGUGAAAUGCUUAGAUAUCACGAAGAACUCCGAUCGCGAAGGCAGGUGUCCGGGCUGCAACUGACGCUGAGGCUCGAAAGUGUGGGUAUCAAACAGGAUUAGAUACCCUGGUAGUCCACACAGUAAACGAUGUAUACUCGCGGUUUGCGAUAGAUUGUAAGCCGCCAAGCGAAAGCAUUAAGUAUACCACCUGGGGAGUACGCCGGCAACGGUGAAACUCAAAGGAAUUGACGGGGGCCCGCACAAGCGGAGGAACAUGUGGUUUAAUUCGAUGAUACGCGAGGAACCUUACCCGGGCUUGKAA